GGGGAUAUAGCUCAGCUGGUAAAGUGCUUGCCUUCCAUGCAUAAGACUCUGGAUUCUAUCCCCA
rnacentral:tRNA from 1 species